GACGAACGCUGGCGGCGUGCUUAACACAUGCGAGUCGAACGCUGAAGCUCAGCUUUUGUUGGGUGGAUGAGUGGCGAACGGGUGAGUAACACGUGAGUAACCUGCCUCCUUCUUUGGGAUAACGCCCGGAAACGGGUGCUAAUACUGGAUAUUCACUGGUCUUCGCAUGGGGGUUGGUGGAAAGGGUUUUUCUGGUGGGGGAUGGGCUCGCGGCCUAUCAGCUUGUUGGUGGGGUGAUGGCCUACCAAGGCUUUGACGGGUAGCCGGCCUGAGAGGGUGACCGGUCACAUUGGGACUGAGAUACGGCCCAGACUCCUACGGGAGGCGGCAGUGGGGAAUAUUGCACAAUGGGCGCAAGCCUGAUGCAGCGACGCCGCGUGAGGGAUGGAGGCCUUCGGGUUGUGAACCUCUUUCGCUCAUGGUCAAGCCGCAACAAUGGUUGUGGUGAGGGUAGUGGGUAAAGAAGCGCCGGCUAACUACGUG
rnacentral:rRNA from 1 species